rnacentral:rRNA from 1 species
UACGGGGGGAGCAAACGUUGUUCGGAAUCACUGGGCUUAAAGGGCGCGUAGGCGGCAAUGCAAGUCCGGGGUGAAAGCUUUCGGCUUAACCGGAAAAGGGCCUUGGAUACUGCGUUGCUGGAGGGAGGUAGGGGCAUGUGGAACUUCCGGUGGAGCGGUGAAAUGCGUAGAUAUCGGAAGGAACGCCGGUGGCGAAAGCGACGUGCUGGACCUCUUCUGACGCUGAGGCGCGAAAGCCAGGGGAGCAAACGGG